rnacentral:sRNA from 1 species
AUGUUGGCUUGUAAGAAUUAGCAAAAAAUGGCCAUCGACAACCAAAAAAAAUGAACACCAUCCUAUGAAAAGCUCACCCAAUUCUAACUUCUCUCUUCACCCUUCCUUUACAUAUCGAUUAUCGAUCGGCCAUUGACCAAUCAUUAACUUUAUUUAGUUAUUUCAAAUUAGUUACUUUUCCUACUUAAAUUUUUGUGUAGAUUAUGAAUUUAUGGUAAGUUUUUGUCAAUGAAUUUUUUUUUUUUUUCAUACGGUCUGAAUUUUUUCCUCUCUCUCAUUUUUAUGGUUGCAAUCAAAUUGAAGAAAACGAAUCAAUUAUGUAAAAAAUAUUUUAGAAAAACCAAUUUCUUUUUUCUUUUGGAACAAAUAAAAUAAGAAUCAAAAUUAAAAAAAUAUUGCAAACGUAGAGACAUUAAAAAAAAAAAAAAAACUAAAUGAGAAUUCAAAACUUUCAAGUAUUAUCGACAUUUUUUAUGGUGUUUUAAGUUAAACAGCCAGAAAAGCUUCCGGAUUAUCCUAAUGGGUUGUCGAGUGAAAAGUUAAAAGGUCGUGAGGUCACAGCGGGACCCAUUGGCUGAUUCAGUGCAUGCGAGCUACGUGGAACUUGUUCAGACAACGAAUAUAUUUUUGGGCUAUUAUGCCUAUUGCCUAGUACUUACUUUUUUUUUUACAAAAAAAAAAAAAAAAAAAAAAAAAAAAAAAAAAAAAAAAAAAAAACCAAGCCCAACCCAAACCAUACUUUUUUUAAAAAAAAAAAAAAAAAAAAAAAAACCAAAGACCCAAACAAACGACAAAAACCAAGCCCAACCCAAACCUCACAACACAAAUCUUAAAAAAAUCAGAUUCACAGAUUAAGAUUACUGUGCCAGAGACACACAAACACACUCGCUCUCUCUCUCUCUCUCUCUCUCUUUUUCUCUAUCUCUCAUUCGAUUGCGCAGUUGCUCUUGUCGUAUUUGAGAGAUUUCCAAGUCUUCACAAAAACCAAAGAAAAAAUUAAAAAAAACAGUAACUGUAACUGAAACAAGAACAAUAAGGAAUCGGGGAGAGAGAGAGAGAGAGAGAGAGAGAGAGAGAGGUCAUAAGCGUUAUUGAAUCUGGUUCAAGAGCUAGUGCUUUUUCCUGUUGCUUCAUCUGAAUUCCAAUUUGAUCUUUCUGCUCACCGAUCCUCUCCUUCACUCUCAAUUUCCUCAGCUCUCUCAGGUGUUUUUUCUUAAGAAAAAAAAAUUGUCUUUUUUAUUUUCUAUUAUCAUUAUUCCUACUUUUGUUUUUGUCUUUUUUUUUUUGGUGGGGUUUCUUAGAAGAUUUUGAUGCAAUUUUGAGAGCAUGAAGGGGAUCAGAUUGACCCGUUUAAUUUUUGUUUCUCAAAUUUUGAAACUUUUUCUAUUAUUUCCCCUUUCCCUGCAUGGUCCUGUUGAUUUUUUUUUUUGUUUGGGUUAUAAUUUUAUAAUUUUUUGUUUGAGUUUAUGAUGUUGGUAUUUGUGUUUAAGGCAUUUGAUGCUGAAUUGGGUAAUUUAAAGUGUAAGAAAUACAAGAUUUUGUAUUGGGUAUUUUGAAAUUGAGUGUCUUAGGUGAUCUUCACAAAGCUUUGUUAGAGUUUUUGAUCUGAGAAUGCAGAUGCUUACUCAUGCAUGCAUUGAUUCUUAAUGAUCUCGCUUCUUCACUUUUGUUCCUUUUCUUUUUCUCUCCUAAAAAUAAUAUUAGUGUAGAAAUUUUUGAUGUUUUAAAAGAUUUUUUGUUAGUGAUUUUUUAAAGGUUUGGUCUUGAUUGAGAUAUAUGACCUGGAGCUCUAGUGGAGCAAUUAUUAUGUAAAUUCCUUGCAAUUUUUCCUCUGGUGAUGACUUUAAUUAUAUCUAAAUGUAAUUUGUACCAAAAGCUAGCAGUUUGAACACUGUAUCUGUUUAGUAUUAUAAAUUUUUUGGUAAAUACCCAUCAAAUUUUCUACAAAAGAAAAGAGAGGAGACAUUGCCAAUCAAACAUUAGGCCACUCAUAUAAAUAAUGUAGAUUUGAAAACAUUUCUAUAUCUUCCAAACAUUCCUUUGGCAACAAAUUAACAACAAAUACUAUUAAUAAAAGACGAAUAGAAGAAUGUGGGUUCUAGUUAGCUUUACUAGGGAAGUCUUUUGCCCUUGAAUAAGGGACCUGGAUUCAAUUUUCGCCUGCACCAGAAAGAAACCAUUGGUGACUUUGGCGUAAUGGAAAAUGGCAAUCGUCAUGUAGAGGAUGCCAUAGUUUUAAAUUCAAUCAUAUAUCUAUAAGGAGGGUAGAAAAAUAUAGUGUAUGAGUUAGGGUAAAACAUGUGUUGGGUCACAUGGGAUAUGGCAUGCUAAGGUAGGGUAUGUAGUUUGUGCUUUUACAGACGUGUAUACAGCAUACUAGAGGCAAACAAAUGAAGUGCAAUGGUAUGGACAGCAUGCUUAAGGCACCUGUUGGAGUGCCAAAGGGUGCUCAAUAUAGUACUCUUACAUGUAUGACUCUCUCCCUCCCCCCUCCCCCCUAUUUUUGUUUGUUUGUUUGUUUGUUUGUUUUUUGUCCCUGAACAAUUCUGCGGAGGAAAGAACCAUUGGAUCAAAAUGCCAAUUGACAUGCUAUAGUAUUUUAAAUCUAUUAGAAAAUAGGAUUAAGAAGUGUUUCCCCUAGCUUGAGUUACUUAAAUAUGCUAAUCAGCCAAAUUUCAUUAUGUUCAUGGGAUUUUUGAGAGAUAUGGGAGUGGAAGAUUUAUAGUUGUUCAAUGUUGGCGUUAUCUUAGACCUUUCAAAUUUUAACUGUCUUAAUGAUUGAUUGUUAUUUAUGGUUCUUCCCUUUCUACACUUUUAAAACUUUUUAAAUUCUUAUGGGCAUUUGCCUCAAAUUAACCCAUUUAGCUCACCAUUCAUGCAAAGAUACCAUUGAUUAUGUUUCUGACAUGGCGUUGUUUUCUUUAUAGACUAUCAAACGAGGGAUGUGUAAUUAAAUUGACCCAUUAAAACGGCCAGUAUUUGCAGUUUAAAUAACAGGUAAGCUCUUUUCUCGAUCAUUGAAGGUAUUUCAAAACUUCAAAUAGCAUGUGAGGAUUAUUAUCAUGCUUGUAUCAAUGUCAUCCUAUUUCCAUUUAAUUCUGCCAAGUAUCAGCUUGAGGGUAUUAAGGGUUAGCAUAUAACAACCUGCAUAUCUCAUCCAAAAGUCAUUGUUUUCUGCACCUUUUUUUCCUUCACUUGCCUUUAGGGAUGGUUAUUUCUGUUGUACUGUCAGGUGUAGCUUGUCUGGGCUUUCGGUUGAGAUAUGAAAUGAUGCAAUCAGUCAUAAGUCUACAUCAUUCAUCAAAGUUGACAUACAUAGGAGCCUAUAAAGUUUAAUAUCAUAUGUUCUAGUAAGUGCCUGUUGCAAGAACAUUAUAUUAUCUUUUUGUCUACUUCUGUUGUUUAAUAUCAGAGUUUAUACAGCAAUUUGGACAUUGUUCUCUCUUGAGACCUAAAUCACUGUUGAUGUUUAUAUGUAUAUUGUAUCUUUUUCUUCUGGUUGCAUGCUUUCAGGUGUGCCUGAGAAGUGA